CGCCGCUCAACACGGAGACCUUGCAACCCUUAGGGGAGGCAGCACGACAGUAAACAAAGCUUGCCGUUUGCAAGUCGGCCAAUCGGUCGGCAACACAAUCGAAUUGACGGGGACCUCCUAAAGCCUGUAACACCAACCGUCCGGGGAAACUCGGGCGGGGCCCUCACGGGGUGGUAAGAGAGUACAGGAUGUAACAAUGGACAAUCCGCAGCGAAGACCCUACCGGCUCCGGCCCACGGGUACCGUUCACAGACUAAGUGAUUGUGGGCGGGGCGAUCGUGCCCUGUCUAAGAUAUAGUCGGACUCUACCCGAAAGGAUAGAGGAUAGCAUGUCCGUAGGUGAACCUGCGGAAGGAUCAUUA
rnacentral:rRNA from 1 species